rnacentral:rRNA from 1 species
AUUGAACGCUGGCGGCAUGCUUUACACAUGCAAGUCGAACGGUAACAGGCCGCAAGGUGCUGACGAGUGGCGAACGGGUGAGUAAUGCAUCGGAACGUGCCCAGUCGUGGGGGAUAACGCAGCGAAAGCUGCGCUAAUACCGCAUACGAUCUAUGGAUGAAAGCGGGGGACCGAAAGGCCUCGCGCGAUUGGAGCGGCCGAUGUCAGAUUAGGUAGUUGGGGGGGUAAAGGCCCACCAAGCCAACGAUCUGUAGCUGGUCUGAGAGGACGACCAGCCACACUGGGACUGAGACACGGCCCAGACUCCUACGGGAGGCAGCAGUGGGGAAUUUUGGACAAUGGGCGCAAGCCUGAUCCAGCAAUGCCGCGUGCAGGAAGAAGGCCUUCGGGUUGUAAACUGCUUUUGUACGGAACGGAACGGUCCGGGUUAAUACCCUGGGCUAAUGACGGUACCGUAAGAAUAAGCACCGGCUAACUACGUGCCAGCAGCCGCCGUAAAAC